GAUCAUGGCUCAGGAUGAACGCUGGCGGCGUGCUUAACACAUGCAAGUCGAACGGAACUCCAAGGAAAGAGUUUUCGGACAAUGGAAUUGGCUGUUUAGUGGCGGACGGGUGAGUAACGCGUGAGUAACCUGCCUUGGAGUGGGGAAUAACACAGUGAAAACUGUGCUAAUACCGCAUGACAUAUUGGCGUCGCAUGGCACUGAUAUCAAAGNUUUAUCG
rnacentral:rRNA from 1 species